UUGUGGAGGAGGACGCCGAAGGUGGGGCUAAUGACUGGGGUGAAGUCGCAACAAGGUAGCCGUACCGGAAGGUGCGGCUGGAUCACCUCCUAACAGGGAGACAUCACUGAUUUUGAUGCCUAAAUUUUUUUUAGGUCAUAAUCCUGUCACCUUAAGGUCGAUCGGUACCUCAGUUUAAUUUUCAAGAACAAAGAAAUUUGUUUUAGAACUUUUGAAUUCAGUUCCUAAACUUUGUCUAGGUCACACCCAACAUGGGUACUCCUGGGCCAUUAGCUCAGGUGGUUAGAGCGCACCCCUGAUAAGGGUGAGGUCCCUGGUUCAAGUCCAGGAUGGCCCAUUCUAAUUUGGGGGUAUAGCUCAGUUGGUAGAGCGCCUGCUUUGCAAGCAGGAUGUCAGCGGUUCGAGUCCGCUUACCUCCACUGACAAACUCUUGAUAACGAAAUCAAAGGAGAUUUUCGUUGCUGAUGUGAGUUAGAUUUAAUUUUACUUGAAUUGACCCUAGCUUCUUAUCAUUCCUUCUUUUAUUUGUAAAAAUACUUGGCUGAUAAGACGCUGGGCUCACUGCAAUUUUCAAGAAUUGCAGAGAUGUUCAGUAGAACCUUGACAACUGCAUAGGUGAGUCUGGAAAGAAUAAAGCAUCUCAUGGAUGCAUUUUUCCUUUAAUUAAUUUUAGAAAUUGCAUUGCAAUUACUAAAAUUAAUUAAAAUGAAUAAUGUUGAUUCUUGAGCAAGAGCAGAGACUUUAUAGCUUUCUUAUUUAUUAAAGUUACUUUAAUAAAUAACAUUUUAGUGUGAAUAGCACUAAGGCUAUAAAGGAUUAUUGGUCAAGCUACAA
rnacentral:misc_RNA from 1 species